AGAGAGUAGGGAGUAGAGAGUAGAGAGUAGGGAGUAGAGAGUAAGGAGUAGAGAGUAGAGAGUAGAGAGUAGGGAGUAGAGAGUAGGGAGUAGAGAGUAGGGAGUAGAGAGUAGAGAGUAGGGAGUAGAGAGUAGGGAGUAGAGAGUAGGGAGUAGAGAGUAGAGAGUAGGGAGUAGAGAGUAAGGAGUAGAGAGUAGAGAGUAGCAGUAUUGGUUCCUUGUUUUCCAUGUUGUUCUACCUUUCUCCCAGGC
ensembl:lncRNA